UCAGAAUAUAUUUGAAUUAAAUCCAAUAAAAAUUCUAAAAGAAAAGAAAAAAGGAAAAACAGCCGGCGACAAGGCAUUGGGGGUCUCCACUCUGCAGCUUCCACUCUCUAAAGUCUAAAGUCUUCCAAAUCCCAAAACCCUAGGGAAGAUGAUGGCGUCUUCCAAUUCACGAAAAUCAGAAACUUCCCCUUCUCCCGCCCCGCAAUUCACCACCACCAACUUCAUCCCCAUCCCCGCCGCCGCAGCCCCUAAAACCGUCGAUGACGUGUGGCAGGAGAUCGUGACCGGCGACCGCCGCGAGUGCAAGGAGGAGGCCCUCGACGACGACGACGACGACGACAACGAGAUGAUGACUCUCGAGGACUUCCUCGCCAAGGCCGACGCCGUGGACGACGCUGACCAUGACCAUGACCAUGCCCAUGACCACGACCCCGACUACCACAACGACGACGUCAAGAUGCCAAUGCCCCUCACCGAGAGGCUCGGCAGCGGCACCCUCUUCUCCUUCGACCACCUUCCCACGACGCCGUUUCACGACCCCUCCGAAGGCUCCGUCAUAGGGUUCGGAAACGGCGUCGAGGUCAUCGAAUGCGGAAGGGGUAAAAGAUCGCGUCCCGUUUUGGAGCAGUUGGAUAAGGCCGCGCAACAGAGGCAGAGGAGGAUGAUCAAAAACAGAGAAUCUGCUGCUAGGUCUAGGGAACGCAAACAGGCUUACCAAGUGGAAUUGGAGUCUUUGGCGGUGAAACUAGAGGAGGAAAAUGACAAGCUCUUGAAGGAAAAGGCUGAGAGGAAAAAGAAGAGGUACAAGCAGAAAUUCUUUCCCGGUUGAUACUCUAGCUGAAGGGUACUGGUUACUUGCUAGUUGCUACUGACAGAAUUGUUAUCGCUAAUGGAAAAAGUACUCCCUAUUGCGCAGAAGCAAAAGCCACCAUGUAUACUCCGUAGGGCUCGCUCCUUGCAAUGGUAGAUCAAAAUUGCUAGGGGUGCAGGACAGGAAUUGAAUAUUAACCACAUCAGUGGUGGGAAAUGAGCAAAUUAAUCAUCAUCUCUUAAAAAUCAUAGUUCUCAGCCUAAUGGUUAGUCUCGAGGGCAAUCAUGGUUAAAAAUGUGAAGAGAUUGAUGGAAUUGGAACCUGAGUAAUAAGGAAAAUUUCUUAUUACUGAAGAAACAACAUUUGCUUAUUCUUAGGAGGUAAAAAGCGGAAGUAUGGAGUUGGACCAUGUAAGUUUAGAUACAAAUUAAACAUCCUGGUAUCUCCCGUGCGCAGAAUGUCAAUGUGUAAUAGUAGAGAGCAAAGGGAAUUUGUAGACUAGUAUAUAAUGUAGUCAUGGCUUAGACCUAUAUUUAUUUGGAGAUAAAAGUAUAUAGAAAUUGCUAAAGCGAUCUUGUCAAUGCGUCUAAACUGCUGUGCAUGUGAAAGAUAAUUUACUGAUGUCUGGAGAUGCGUCGCUGUUUCAGUCUUA